AACGAACGCUGGCGGCGUGGAUAAGACAUGCAAGUCGAACGGAGAUCUUGAAUAGCUUGCUAAUUGAGAUCUUAGUGGCGGACGGGUUAGUAACACGUGAGAACCUACCCUUUAGACAGGAAUAGCCCAUGGAAACGUGGAUUAAUGCCUGAUAGUCUCUACGGAGUAAAUGGUGCCUUCGGGUAUCGCUAGAGGAUGGGCUCGCGGCCUAUCAGUUUGUUGGUGAGGUAAAGGCUCACCAAGACUACGACGGGUAGCUGGUCUGAGAGGACGAUCAGCAACACUGGAACUGAGACACGGUCCAGACACCUACGGGUGGCAGCAGUCGAGAAUCAUUCACAAUGGAGGCAACUCUGAUGGUGCAACGCCGCGUGGAGGAUGACGGUCCUAGGAUUGUAAACUCCUGUCAUUGGGGAGUAAGACUUAAGCGUUAAGAGCGUUUAAGUUUGAUAGUACCCAAAGAGGAAGGGACGGCUAACUUCG
rnacentral:rRNA from 1 species